GAUGAACGCUGGCGGCGUGCCUAAUACAUGCAAGUCGAGCGAACAGACGAGGAGCUUGCUCCUCUGACGUUAGCGGCGGACGGGUGAGUAACACGUGGAUAACCUACCUAUAAGACUGGGAUAACUUCGGGAAACCGGAGCUAAUACCGGAUAAUAUAUUUAACCGCAUGGUUCAAUAGUGAAAGACGGUUUUGCUGUCACUUAUAGAUGGAUCCGCGCCGAAUUAGCUAGUUGGUAAGGUAACGGCUUACCAAGGCAACGAUGCGUAGCCGACCUGAGAGGGUGAUCGGCAACACUGGAACUGAGACACGGUCCAGACUCCUACGGGAGGCAGAAGUAGGGAAUCUUCCGCAAUGGGCGAAAGCCUGACGGAGCAACGCCGCGUGAGUGAUGAAGGUCUUCGGAUCGUAAAACUCUGUUAUUAGGGAAGAACAAAUGUGUAAGUAACUAUGCACGUCUUGACGGUACCUAAUCAGAAAGCCACGCCUAACUACGU
rnacentral:rRNA from 1 species